AACGAACGCUGGCGGCAUGCCUAACACAUGCAAGUCGAACGAGACCUUCGGGUCUGGUUGCGCUCGGGUGCGUUAAGUGUGAGAACCUGGACUAAGGCUUGGACUAACUGCCUGCAAGGGGUGCUAAUCCCGGGUAAAGUACUCGGACCAAAGAAUAAUCGCCUUUGGCGGGGUCCGCCAUGGAUUAGAAAGUUGGUAGUGUAAAAGCCCACCAAGGCGACGAGCCAUAGCUGGUCUGUGAGGAUGAUCAGCACCACUGGGACUGACACACGGCCCAGACUCCUACGGAUGGCAGAAGUGGGGAAUGUGGGACGAUGCGCGAGAGCCGGAGCCAGCAAUGCCGCAUGAGUGAUGAAGCCCGUAGGAUUGUGAAGCGCUUUUACCCGGGAUGAUAAUGACGGUACCGGGAGAAUAAGCUCCGGCUAACUCCGUG
rnacentral:rRNA from 1 species